GAUGAACGCUGGCGGCGUGCCUAAUACAUGCAAGUCGAGCGAAUGGAUUAAGAGCUUGCUCCUAUGAAGUUAGCGGCGGACGGGUGAGUAACACGUGGGUAACCUGCCCAUAAGACUGGGAUAACUCCGGGAAACCGGGGCUAAUACCGGAUAACAUUUUGAACCGCAUGGUUCGAAAUUGAAAGGCGGCUUCGGCUGUCACUUAUGGAUGGACCCGCGUCGCAUUAGCUAGUUGGUGAGGUAACGGCUCACCAAGGCAACGAUGCGUAGCCGACCUCGGAGGGUGAUCGGCCACUCUGGGACUGAGACACGGCCCAGACUCCUACGGGAGGCAGCAGUAGGGAAUCUUCCGCAAUGGACGAAAGUCGGACGGAGCAACGCCGCGUGAGUGAUGAAGGCUUUCGGGUCGUAAAAAUCUGUUGUUAGGGAAGAACAAGUGCUAGUUGAAUAAGCUGGCACCUUGACGGUACCUAACCAGAAAGCCACGGCUAACUACGUGCCAGCCGCCGCGGUAA
rnacentral:rRNA from 1 species